ACCUCAUCUCCUUCUAUGACCGGGUGAUCUUCCUGGUGGAUGAGGGAAAGGCUGUUGAUGUAGUCUACCUAGACUUCAGCAAGGCCUUUGUCAUGGUCUCCCACAGUAUUCUCCUGGAAAAGCUGGAAGCCCAUGGCUUGGAGAGGCACACUCUUUGCUGGGUUACAAACUGGCUGGGCAGCUGGGCCCAGAGAG